rnacentral:lncRNA from 13 species
AUGGACUGGGAUAUGUUUCGUAUUGCAUCAAACAACAACACUGACGAAUACGCUGAUUCGGUGAGCGAGUUCAUUAGAACGUGCGUUGAAGAUGUCGUUCCCAUAGCACGAAACAUGACCGAAUACAAACAGUGUAGCUAUUCCCUCCGCAAGGCAAUCAAACAAGCUAAGCGUCAGUAUAGAGACAAAGUAGAAUCUCAAUUCAACGGCUCAGACACAAGAGGUAUGUGGCAGGGUCUACAGUCAAUCACGGAUUACAAAAAGAAAACCAGCCCCGUCACGGACCAGGAUGUCUUGCACCCAGGCAGACUAAAUAACUUUUUUGCCCGCUUUGAGGACAAUACAGUGCCACUGACACGGCCUGCAACCAAAACAUGCGGACUCUCCUUCACUGCAGCCGACGUGAGGAAAACAUUUAAACGUGUUAACCCUCGCAGGGCUGCAGGCCCAGACGACAUCCCUAGCCGCGCCCUCAGAGCAUGCGCAGACCAGCUGGCUGGUGUGUUUACGGACAUAUUCAAUCAAUCCCUUUCCCAGUCUGUUGUUUCCACAUGCUUCAAGAGGGCCACCAUUGUUCCUGUUCCCAAGAAAGCUAAGGUAACUGAGCUAAACGACUACCGCCCCGUAGCACUCACUUCCGCCAUCACGAAGUGCCUUGAGAGACUAGUCAAGGACCAUAUCACCUCCACCCUACCUGACACCCUAGACCCACUCCAAUUUGCUUACCGCCCAAAUAGGACCACAGACGAUGCAAUUUCAACCACACUGCACACUGCCCUAACCCAUCUGGACAAGAGGAAUACCUAUGUGAGAAUGCUGUUCAUCGACUACAGCUCGGCAUUUAACACCAUAGUGCCCUCCAAGCUCGUCAUCAAGCUCGAGACCCUGGGUCUCGACCCCGCCCUGUGCAACUGGGUACUGGACUUCCUGAUGGGCCGCCCCCAGGUGGUGAGGGUAGGCAACAACAUCUCCACCCCGCUGAUCCUCAACACUGGGGCCCCACAAGGGUGCGUUCUGAGCCCUCUCCUGUACUCCCUGUUCACCCAUGACUGCACGCCUCCAACGCAAUCAUCAAGUUUGCGGACGACACAACAGUGGUAG